CAGGUGCGGUCAGCGGGAUGGUCCUCGGAGAAUCUGCAACGCGCGCAAAAGGAACCGAGCAAGUAAAUAUGCUGAGAUAUGGACAGAAACAUUUAUAGCAAGAAUAUAUUCAGGAGCUGACUCCACUAGAAAGUGAGGUACAGUAUGGGGGGCGCUAAGAUCUGCUGUUGAAUAGAAAAAGAUGAGUGCAGAUGAAAUAGCCACUGAACUACUUAUGCUGCAAGAGAUGCUAACUGUGCAAUACACAAAUACAUAUGGAACAAGACGGUCAAUUCAUACAGACUGGAAAAGACUGUUUGGGCUACAUAAGAGUCAUCACAUUGAUGGACAAGAUACCACUAACACGAGUGCUUUAUUAUAUCAAAUCAAGAUCUAAUUACAUCAACUUUCCUAAUGCCCAUCUCUGCAACUUUCAGGUAAGCACUAUAAAGCACAUAGGACACCUAUCUCCCAUUCCUUUCAACAGCAGCAGCUUUCAAGAAUUCAUCAUAACAAUCUUAGCAAACUGUUGCUGCCCAGACUAACACUUUUCAAAUUGACUUUAGAGUCAUUGGAUGUUUUGAAAUCCCUCUCUCCUUGGUGGUUCAAAAUAGAGGUUAUUUCAGUUCCAAUCUUCCCUGAAUGCAGACUACUGGGGAGAGCAUCUGCUGCUGCAGACAUACAUGACUUCUCAUAACCUAGAUUUCCCAGUUCAGUAAAAGAAUUUAGAAGGGGUGAAUUUCAUUGUCACUUGUUAAAAAUCCCCUGGCUUAACUUAGACGGCAGGGAAGAUUUUCAACUCCAUAUUUCCCCACAAAUGUAACUUCUCAUGUAUGAGUACUGCAGAUAUUUUACAUAAAAUAUGGUCAACUUAUUUACCAUGCAUGUUUUAAUGUUUAUAUUUAUCAUAAAUAUUUUAUUGUUUUAUGCUGUUGUUUGUAUACCUACGCAACUCAGAAUUAAAUUGGGAAAUACAAAUCUGUUAAAU